GGGAAACUCCAGAACCCGACAGGGUGGUUUGUCACAACACAAUCCUUUUUGUUGGCUCUAUCACACACUGCUGUCACUGUGAAAUUGUCUUAACAUUUCUAUUUCUUACAAAAGCAACUUCACCUCUGUGACUUGUCAGCGGUUUGAAUCAUCUGUUUCUAACCCACAAUAUCUAUUUUAGGUCAUGCAAAGCAAUGUGUGUGUGCGUGGGACUUCCUGUGGUGACGCGAUCCAGUACGCUGCUAUGAUUGGCUGGUCACUUCCCAACUUCCUCAAUAACAAGAAAACACAGGCAUCAGCUGUGAGUGCAGUGCAGUCAUCAAACGAUGCAGUAGGGGUUUGGAACAUUCCCUUCUCUACAAAUGUAUGAAUUCCAUCAGCAGAAGGCAGAGGAAUGUGAACAGGAAGUGUAGGGACCCGCUGACACCUGGAAGCACUCAAACAUUUUGUUACCAGGAGUGAAGUAUGGGCAGUGAGUACCAGCCACUAUCUUCAGCAGAGCCUUGCACAACUUUCUUCAUCGAGACGUCAGAGUGCUUUAUAUGCCGGGAUGUUGAACUUCAAGCCAGUGGCCCACUGAGGAAUUUUUGUGACUGCAAGAAUUCACUUUCUCAUCACGCAUGUCUAUCUACAUGGAUCCAGAAGGGGUGUGGGAGCAAAGACAGGCUGCGAUGCGUCAUCUGCAAAGCCAAGGCCCAGAGCAGAGGGAGAAUUUCAGCGAUGCACAAUAAGCAGCUGAAGAAUGAGGCUCAUGGGAACAAGAGGCACAGUCCUAGAUUUUCCUCCUUCGGUGACAUCUUGAAUAGUUCACGAGUUAUGUGCAAAAGUUGUG
rnacentral:lncRNA from 1 species